rnacentral:rRNA from 1 species
UACGGGGGGGGUAAGCGUUGUUCGGAAUUACUGGGCGUAAAGGGCUCGUAGGCGGCCAACUAAGUCGGACGUGAAAUCCCUCAGCUUAACUGGGGAACUGCGUCCGAUACUGGAUGGCUUGGAUUUGGGAGAGGGAUGCGGAAUUCCAGGUGUAGCGGUGAAAUGCGCAGAUAUCGGGAGGAACACCGGUGGCGAAGGCGGUUCUCUGGGCCUGUUCUGACGCUGAGGAGCUAAAGCGUGGGGAGCGAACAGG